CCUCCCUCUUAGAAUUCUUGUCCCUC
rnacentral:misc_RNA from 1 species